UGCAACUGCAGGAUCUGCUGUUUCAGCUCCACUGACACGUCAUUCCCUCAGGACACCCAGUGACCUGGUUAAUCUAGUUCCUUGCUUCUGACUUCUCCUCGUAAAUGAUUUAUCAACUGGCGUGGAUCCCUGUUUGCUUAAGGAGGCGUGUGACGACCUCUCACAGGCUGGCUGCACAGAGCCACGGCCGCAUUUGGCAGCCGGCUGUUGGCCACAGCUCGUGACCCUUGGCUGGGGGAGAAGGGGAUGGGCACUAGAGCCUGGUGGGUGAUGAUUAUGUGGCUGCUGGAGGGUGCUGGUGACCAAGCUGCAGGCUUGGUAGUGGGAGUACUCACCUAGGACCUGCCUCAGCCCACUCUGACCCCCAUGGUAUGAAGGCAUGGUGGGCAGAGGGCUGGCACGGGCUGUAGUUGCCCACCAUGGGAGCAUCAGCUGCACCAGGGCCAUCCUUGAGGUUCCUGUGCUCCACAGAGGAAAUAAUGCCAACUUUGGUCCACUGCCUUGUUCACAGCGAGGCAGCAUCCAUGGGGUGACAUCAGUGUCACAUCUGGAGGAGUCUUCAUGUGCAUACAUGGGUCAGUAUGCGUGUCACCACACACACAGCAUUGCAGUAAGAAAGAGGUGGUACUGAUCUGAACUCAAUCAGAAGCCAGGGAGAGAGGAUGGAAAUGACUCCUGCAAGCUUUACAUCCUGCCUUUGUACCUGGGCUAAAGGAGCGUGGAAAGAGAUCAGAUAUCACAAAUUGGGCACCCUUCUAAAAAACUGUCUAUGGGCAACUCCCCGCCUUCCCUCCAGGCCAGUUAUUGCUGCUUCCUGCUCUGAUUGUUUCAAAUCCGGUUAUCUGGAGUUAUGCCUGUUCUGGCAAAUACGGUGCAGCAGAGGGGAGGGACUGUUCCAGCCGGUGCUGUAUGCAUGCCACAGAUCACAGAGAUUAGCAUGGGAGGAACCGCAGAGAUGAGCUGCUUGAGGCAGAUAGUGGGAAGCUUACAACAGAGCUGCUUAACAAUUACAGCCAUGAAACUGUAGGUCAAAAUCUUUAUUCUGGGAACACGAAGCUGCGUUGGGUUUCCAGCUGGCAGGGGGCUGUCUUGUAGGGGCAGCACGUGGCAGUAAGGUGAGGAGGAAGCCCACCACAGCCCCCUCCCCAGCAGUGUCGUGUCGCACCACCCGAAGGCUGCACAUCAUCAGGAGGGCUGGGCUGCAGCGAGGAACCUGCAGCCACAUGCAGGCAGAGGCAAGGGUGUGUUCUUUCCCGCACAAGGGUGGGUUUGGAGCAGCCUGCAGCUUCCUGGGACCUCAGGGGUGGUCAUUCCUCUUAGCCCACGAGGGUGGAAGAUGCAGCUCCUGUUCUCUUUUUUGGGGUCACACCACCUGCUUCUGCCUCAGCAGAAACCUCUGUGUUCACACCCCAUGUGCUCCCACUGCACACCUCCUACAGCAGACAAACAGCACGGGAGGACAGACAGCUGGCAGGGUGUGUAGGAGCUAAUCCCACCUCACCAGGAGCACCAUAGACACUCUGCUGCUCAGAUCCCAAACCCUUGUCCCCAAGAACAAGUUCAGUCUAGGCUGAUCUCCUGUAUGCCCCAUGAGAUCCUCAUCAUAGUAACAGAGCAGAGAGGUAGGAUGGGAGAAGAGGCUGAGGUCGGUGAGUUAUCCCAAAACCGUAUUUCUAACCUUUAAAUAUGUGUGGGUUUCCCUCAGACAUAACUUCAGUCUGAAUUCCCAAGUGCUGAUAAAUGUGUGAGUGGACAACUCAAGGCUCAGGCUUAGCUUCAAGCCCAAGCUCACUGACUGUUCACACCACCUGUCCCACACGCCAUCUUGCUCUCCUAACAGCAGAGAGGAGCCUGAUCCAUGUAGGAACUAUGUCCUUCCAAGCAGCACAAGUACUCCUCACUCUAACCUCUUGGAACUCAAACACAGUUACCAGGGACAGCACAGAUGCAAGUGAUGCAAGUACAAAACUCCCCAAAAGCAUUCCUAUGUCCUUAGGGCACUGAAACAAGAGCCAGGAUUUCUCAUUGACCUCCUCCAUGGCAGGUGCACAGGUUUAGCAACUACGCACUAAAGAGAGCAGCCAGAAACUCUUUGGCAGAGACAGGACCAGAACCUGCUUCCUCUCAUCUCCAGCUGCCCAGGUUGCUCAGAAUCACAGAGUCAUUAAGGUUGGAAAAGGCCACUAAGAUCAUCCAGUUCAGCCAUCCACCUACCACCAGUGUAGCCCACUAAACCACCUUCCUUAGUGCCACAACUACACAUUCCUCGAACACCUCCAGGGGCAGCUUCCAAGUGCCUGGCUUUGUUCUGGUCCAGCCAAUACAGGGCGAUUUUCUGGUCUUUCUUUUGUACAUCCAAAAGGGUUUUUAAUUUGCAUUUUUUACCACAACCAAUCACAGAUAUUUUCAUUGAACUGUUCACGCAGAAACCAUUUUAUUGAGCUGUUCUGGUUUUGGUGUGCUUAAAUCACCCAGCUGGCAGAGCAGCCUAGUGCAUGACAGAGUGAAGUCACAUACCUCUCUGCUGGGUCUGACUGCAGGAGAUCCUACCAGGUCAAGGUUGCAGCUGCGUGUCACGCACUCAUGGCAUCCAAAGUUACCGUCACUCCUUCAGGAAGACUGGCUCGGAGCUGAGAGGCAGCUGACCAGAGUUUCUUAUCCAGGUCCCCUGCUGAUGAGGCUCAGACUAAAUCUGCUGGCAAAAUCUAACAAGAUUGCAAGCAGAAGGACACAGCUAUGGAUAAAUAGAAGUGAGGGGAAUAAUGGCCUGCUUUUCUUGGACUGGGUCCAACAUUCACUAAAGGGAUUCCCAUGAGCAUCAGUAGGAUUCAAAUCAGAACAUAAAUUUCUUAUAAAAUUUCUUCUACUUUAUUAAACCAUAAAAAAAUCAACCCAGCCCCCUCCUGCUUCCCCCCCCCCUUCUCCCCCCAAAUCACACACACACAGAAAAACCAACCUCACAACUAUUUUAAGAGCUGUUUCCCCCUUUUCUUACAUAUUCAUUCUCCUUUCUGGUCUUUCUCAGUAGCAGGGAGGCUGUCCUGCUCCUCUGACAGCUCCAUGACCUGCCAGCUGCCCACAGUCUGAGCACUGUGCUUCUGACCAGGCAAGCCAACAUGCCAUGAGCUGCUGCAGCUCAGCACAUGAGUGCUGGAGGAACAGGGAUUGCAGGGCGGCCAUUCACUAAGGGCCCCAAGAGGACAUCCUUCCUGUAUUAAUAUUGCCUCCCCGAACUAUCAAUUAAAAGAACGCCACAUUUCUGUACCCUGUGGAUAUCGUCUGCCUUCUGUGCACACGCACAUCCCGCUGGGAGAGGUACUGUAAGUAUUGAGGUAUUAAAGAUGCCAGAGGGAGCCCAGUGGGAUUUCAGAAGGGCAGUGGUCCUGACUGCUUUGGAUUCCAGUGCAGGUCGGAUGUGUGUGCCCCAGGCCCUGUCUCUAGGGCCCCAGCACCUUUGGAAUCUGGUUCCCUCAGCCCUCUCUUUGAAUAUAGCAGUUGGCUCCCAGGGUAUUACCAGCAUGGAAAAAGUAAAGACUAUGAGUUCUCCGGAAAUAUUGAAACGGGGUCAACUAAGUAACGUUUAAGUCAAUUAGAAAGACAGUCUGUUAACAGCCUGUUAAUAGCUGGCUGAGAUGGAUUCCCAUGAUUCCCGGUGCCAGCAUCUCUGCUCACACAAGGAAAUAUUUAUGACUCUUCUCCCUCAAAAGCCUGGUUAACCUCAUGUAAAGUGGAGAGCAUGAAGAUAGAUCUAUCAACAUUAGGGACAUUAACUCUCCCUUUUUGUCCCCACGAUUAAAAGAGAAAAAGACGAAUUCAAACAAAGUGGGAAGUGAAUUACCCAGAGUGGCUGCAGAUGGGAGCCAUUAAAUGCCUGGCUGCGUUUUUUUAAUUGAAACAAUACAGCAAUUUACUAUACAAAUAGCUCUGGCAAAGCACCGCUCUGGUUCUGUGGAAGCCGGCCACCCCGCAUCCCACGGGUCACACGCAGCAGCUCAGCUCGGACCCGGGGCGAGGCGCAUCCCUGUGCAGAGCACCGCAGCUCCGCCUCGCUAUCCGGACCACUGCAGGAACGUCGGGACGAGAUCCCAGCGGCAGCUCCCGGCCGUUACCAAGUAGAGUCCAGAGAGAAGCAAGUCCUUACUCCUCCUUUUGGGGCAAGGUGACGGGAAAAAAACAAACCCAGGACUCUGCGACCACGGGUGUUUUUGAGUCAGCGGCGCUCAAGGGACCUUUCAGUCAGCACAACUGUGUGAGUGGCCAAAUAAAAACAGACCCAAACGCCAUCGGCUCCGCUUACAUCAAGGAAAGGGGAAGCAGCUCUUCUACAGCAAGAGCUAGCUGAGUUCUGCAAGAGGCGGCUAAAAAUAGGGCUGCCCCCUACAACACUUCCGUCCUGCCUUUGACACGCUCGCAGCUUUCACAUCCCAUCAGCCCCGCCAUUUCCUCACCCCACACUCGGCAUCGCCCUGCAGCCCUUCCUGCCUGUGCAGGGCUUUGAAGCAUGGGCAGCUCCCUCACGCCGGACGGCAGCAGCCAUUUCCUCUGCUUUCUUCACUCUUUCUGAGUGCUUUGGUCACAAAGUGAGAAGUGGGGCGGGUCCCGGUGAAGGUCUCACCCCAAGAAGACACUGGAAGUCCCAGAGGUGCCGAAGACAAGAAAAGCUUUCCACAGUGGAGUGUUUUCAAGGGUGUUUUUCUCAGUAAAUGAAAUGAUGGAAAGCGUUUCUGUCAGUACCUCCAGGACAACAUUCCCAAGUAUCUGCUUUCAGCUUUGGCAUUUGUUCCUGGAGAAUCAGGGGCUGAAAAUGGCAUAAAGCUGCUUCUCAGAAUAAGAAGGAAAACAAAUGAGCAACGCACAGGAGGGGAUGUGAAGGGACUGAUGUGUGUCAGCAGGCAGUGACACCACACAGCUGUCAAAUGAUGGCCCACGGAAGAUGGCAGCACAGCAGCAGUGUGCCAUGAGAGCAGCAGAGCUCCAGUUCUGCCAGUAUGUCUGUGAGAAAAGGCAUGGGACAGAGCUCAGUGUGGGCGGGCUGAGGAAAAGGCAAUGACAUCUCUUAACCUCAAUGAAGCAGACUGUUGAGAAUGGCCUCAGCAUUUGCCCAAGGUUUUCCAGAUGCUAAGUAAAUAAAAUCUCUGAGAAGCUGGACCAGUUGGCACCUCAUUUACCUUUGUCUUCCCUGCAUUUCAGCAUAGCAAGUACCCUGAUGUCCCGAUAAGGACAAACAGGAUGAGGCAAGCCCACGUUCUCUGGACCACAAGAGGAUGGAACAGGUCACCACCAUGCUGUCAGAUGGCAGCUUGAGCCCUGGUGGUCUGGGGGCCAGUCCUCUCCUCCAGGCUCCUGCUAUCUAGCUGUUGUGGCCUCAUGCUCAUAGGCAGAGGAAUUUGGUCUUGAAGGGGAGCCAUUGUGCAGCUCCCAGUUCUGCUUGGGAGUGAACAGAGUCAGCAGAGGUUCCUUGCUGUAAAAGGGCUGAUGAGGAGGGAGAGCAGCCUGGGCCUCUGCUGGGCCUGAGGGUGCAGUCUCCCUAGAGCCCUGAGGCGGGCAGAGGCUGGUGUGAGCACACAGUUCUGGUUCUGGUAUACAGAAAGGCUGCCCCGAGGUGGUUGUUUAGAAAGGGUGGAACAGGAAAGGCAGACCUGGGGACAGAGCCCCUGGGCAGCCUGUGAGGCAGCCUCCAGGGAAUAGCUGCCCUGCUGUGAGGAGGCUACUUUGGGCAAGGGAUGUAAAACAAAGCCGAAAGCCAUCAGCUCAGAAGUCACAUCCAGAGACACUUUCACCAGACCAAGCCAGAAGUGACUUCCUGAAGCUUCUUUGUCACCAACCUGCUUGAGAAGAGUGGCACCACACAGUGUCACUGCUGCCAACUGGAAGCAGAGCCAUGGCAGGAGGCUGCCAGCUCCACUCCUGGGCAGCUCCUGCACGAACACGUCUGUAUGCAGGGGUGAGGAAGGUGCCGGGGGGCUGGCUCCUCAGCAGUUCUCUGGUACAUUAGAGGAACAUUUGCAAACUUUUGCCACUUCUAAGCCUCAGCAACCACUCUCAAGAGCAGCCUGUGAAGGUUUCCUGGGUGGUUGGUUUGUGGUUUUUACAGUUGUAAUUUAGUAUCUGGAUCUUAUUUCAACGGCCCCCUCAAUCCUCCCAACUGCUAGUGGUCGCUGGUGCCUGCUGUGAAGCUGUGCCUGCAUCCUUCAGGAGCUGCUGAGGGGCUGGGUGACAAACAGGCCCACAGCCCUCAGGUCACCCUUUGGGUCCUCAUGGCAGAGUUAGAAGAGACACACAUGGGCUGCCACAGAUCCUGCAUGAGCGUGGGCACGCACCUCGGCUGAGUGCUGAGGCCCUGCUCCCCUCCUCUUCCUUCCGCCCCCAGCAGGUGAGCGUGCCGGAAACCACACGGACGGAGGAAGGCAGAGUUUCCAGUUCUCUAGGCAGAGGUGCUGCUAUGUAUUUUCGUUAUAUAAAUAUUGUUGUUUUUUUUUUCCACAAAAGUGAUGGUUUGGGUCACCAGGGCUAUUUUAAGAUGGGUUUUGCAUUUCCUCCAGAAAGGGCCUUGCCUUGAGGCAGUGUUACAGCACCACCUGGUGGGUCCCAGCGAGCGUCAAGCAGCAAAGGGGCCAAGCUGCUUGCUGCAAAUGGCCGCAGCACUGCCAGCAGAGGGGCCGGACUGUGCGGCUCUGCAAGCAAAGCCCUGUCCAGAGCACACCAGCCCCCAGCACGGGCUAUCGGAGGUGUGAAUAACUCCUUAACUACUGCCUCCUUUGCCCCACAGGCAUCUGCAACUCCACAUUAAGUCUACAGGAGCAUCUGCAGAUUUUGACACUUUCAGCCAGGCUGGCAGGUGCUCACAGACGUUAGAAACAUGACCAACUACAUUUUACCCAUGCCAGCCACAACAUAGUAUCUGAAGGCCUGUGAAACUCAAGGAGAAAUCAGCUGCCUUAGAACUGCUGAGUGCUAGCUGUUGAGUAAUAGAAAAUAAGCAUACAUGUAGGGUUCCACUGGGUCUGAUCUCAGUCUCCAGUGAUUCAUCUCAUGUACACACAUACACACACACACAAAUAUACUGAGGGCAAUUCCUGGUUUGGACUGAAGCAUCUACUCUACACACACUGAUCUGCAUCUUCCUGUCUCAGCUUGGCGGCACUGCUGGAUACCCAUGCAGCAUGCAGGUUUUCUAAGAUGGGGAAAGAGAUGCAACCCUGGUUACAUGAAAUUACCACUGCACCACACAAGAGCAUCAUUCAGUCCCAAUGAAACCCUUUAUUUUAAGCCCUUCAUUAAUCUUGAAGAGUGGUUUUUACCUUACACACUCACCUCUCCUUCAUCACUCGCACACAUGUAAGCCCAAUAAAUCAAGAGCAGUGAUCAUCCUUCAGAUGUCUUGAGACUACCCAUACCUACAGAGCUGCCACUACCUAGUAUUUCGCUAUAGCAUAUGAUCUACCCCCAGCCAUGCCCUUUCCUUUUCAUUCCCUUUACAGGCCUGGAGUGGCUCCACAUAUAGAGUCAGCGCACAUGCUGCAUCCCAGUGUUAGCUAAUGUGCAGAGCAUCUUGCUUAUGUGCCCCUGAGCCGCAACUCUAGUGGGCAGGUCAGUGCCAGCCCUGACUGGUAAAUCACACUAAGUUGCAUGAUCUGUCAGACAGAUUCCCAGUACCACAGCUCCCAUUCAAACCAAACAGCUUCCUGAGAGAUGGCUACUUAAACUGGAAAAGUCUGAGUCAGCCUCAAUCCAAACGAGUUUCCAGCUUGAGGCUGCUUCACAGCACAUGUGCGCAAUGCCCACCCCUGCCAGGCCACCUGGCUCUGAGGUCUCACAGCUCAGAUUGUUUCUCCAUGUAAGUUAGCCUUGUCUUCAGCUGCUCUUAUUGAAAGGGGUUGCUCCCUGGGGCUGUUAUACCUUGCCCAGCUCUGACUGGAUGUAUAGGGCUACAAGCAGCUGUUCAGAAACUGAUAGGUAAGAAUGAAGAGUAGCAUCUUGCAAAGAGGUGGAGAAUUUAGGGAAACAUAAAUGAUUUAACCUUUAAGCGGUAGGAAAGGAUGGCAAACAUACUUAAGAUAUCUGGUAACCUAUUUUGUACAUUUCUCCUCACUCUGAAGCAUAUUUCCAUUUCACAUCAGUUUUCACAUAAACUUUUCCUGAGAACCAAAACCCUUCCAUGAUCCCACAAGCAGUGGUAGCAAGUUCAGCCACUAGAUGGCACAAGACAGAUGAGCCAGUUCACUGAGGCCAGUUCUGGCCUUGGCUGCAGGCACAUUCCCAGCCUGCUCCCGCCAUCUCGCUUUUCAACUACAGGUCAGCAUUCUCAGCAACCACCACUUGUUUUGCUUUUCUCACCUGCCAACCACUAUCACUCAAUAUCUCCACUGCUUUGUUUGUGGAUCUCAAAGGUCCUACGCUGGGCAAUGGACAUUCUGGAAUUUUUUUUGCAAGGCCACUAACUUAACAAAGCAAGCAACACUGUCACUUAAAGACAGCUGAGCAUAUCCCAGCUUUCCCAGCAGUGACACAACGUGGAACUCCUUCACAAAGUAAUUCCUACUUGUUCAUUCUGUUUUUCUCAAGUGUCAGCAUAUUAGGAUAACAAUAUGCUAAACAUGCAAACAUCACGAGCAGUAGUUUGCUAUAGUAAGAGUAUCUGUGUUGAAGCCUUAGCUAAAGAAGUGUAGCAUAGGUAAUAAAAGAAUUCCUGGAAAUGCAUUUCAAAUAUUCUAGAUGGUUUUACUUACAGGCAAAUUCCAGUCUCUUUUCCACGUUUGGCAGUUGGUACUUCUGAACUGGUGGACAAAGUCAAUCACACAAACAUAUCUGCAAGGACAGCACAGAUACUAUUAUUUGCUAUCAAUUCAAACAAGUUUCUGAGCCACUGAUGGCCACAGUACAAUGGAAGGAUCUGAUUACUUACCCGUGGUAACUCCUUCUUGGUUACAUUUCAUUUGUUUCUGCAAGGAUACAUCUUCAAACGGGUCUCCUUGUGAUCAUGCCCACAAGACUGCUACCAAGUAACAGCACUAUGCAACAUUGUAACGUAAGCCAGAAAAAGGUUUUAUUUUACUAGGAUUGGUACAUUUCAACACACGUAAGACUUUUGAGUUUAAUUUACACGUAUUUUUUCCAAAAACGCUUCCCUUCUUUAACAAUCCAGAAGUUAAAAAAAUCUUAUUCCAAAUUAUAAGAACAAACAGUGGAAAUUUCUAUUAAUCAAAACAACUGUGCAUUCAGGAGAUUUAAAGGAAUUAUCCUCCUCACCCUUUCACAUGAUUAACUUUUACUGUCACAACUGACUAUGCUUUAACUGGGAUUUUUUGCUGCCGUUCUUUACUAAAAUAACUUUCUGUUCCAUCGAGACUAUUGCUAGUCAUACACACAAUACUCAGUAUCAUACUUCUUGGUAUGAAAACUAUGCCACUUUUAUCAACAUUAAAAACAUGGACAUGCAUAUUGACAUUUCUGUGCAGUUUUAUGGAGUCACCUGUCAAAUAAGGCCUCUACAUACAAUAUCACAUACUAGUGAAUUACUGGAAAAUUAGUAUAAUGGAUUCGCAAUAAUCCCGACACCUGGAUGGUAUGACUCACUGUAACAGGAAAAUCCAGCUUUUAUUACUGGUUAGCAUUGUAUUGAUUCACUAGCCAAACGUACAAUACUCAACUGGCCAAGGUGUAUUCCUGAAAGUCUGUUGCAAAUUAAGCGUAUUAUCAAGGUCAAUUAAAGCUGGAACUUAAAACAGCCUCUUAAGCCAAGCAAUGGGGGAAAAAAAGUGAACUCUAAACUAAAUUCAGCUGGUCCAUUCAUACUCGCACAGAAAAGUAGCCACAGAACUUUAAGGAAUAAAAUGCAUACUUCCUGUUCUUGGACUCCGUAUCAAGGACAAAAGAUAACAUACUAUUCUGGAAGUCAAAGGCCUUGAAGGUGGAGGGGAAUCUGGGGGCAGGAGAGGGCAAAAGCAGCGCAUUGUCUCAUCCCAUUACCUCAGCAUUAUGUGUACGUAAUAUAUCUAUAAUAGAAACGUUUACUAAUAGCAGGAAAAAUAAACAACAAAAAAAGA